rnacentral:rRNA from 1 species
AGAGUUUGAUCCUGGCUCAGAACGAACGCUGGCGGCAGGCCUAACACAUGCAAGUCGAGCGAUCCCUUCGGGGAUAGCGGCGGACGGGUUAGUAACGCGUGGGAACGUACCCUUUUCUACGGAAUAGCCAUUGGAAACGAUGAUUAAUACCGUAUACGCCCUUCGGGGGAAAGAUUUAUCGGAGAAGGAUCGGCCCGCGUUAGAUUAGCUAGUUGGUAGGGUAAAGGCCUACCAAGGCGACGAUCCGUAGCUGGUUUGAGAGGAUGAUCAGCCACACUGGGACUGAGACACGGCCCAGACUCCUACGGGAGGCAGCAGUGGGGAAUAUUGGACAAUGGGCGCAAGCCUGAUCCAGCAAUGCCGCGUGUGUGAAGAAGGCCUUCGGGUUGUAAAGCACUUUCAGCAGGGAGGAUAAUGACGUUACCUGCAGAAGAAGCACCGGCUAACUUCGUGCCAGCAGCCGCGGUAAUACGAAGGGUGCAAGCGUUAAUCGGAAUUACUGGGCGUAAAGCGCGCGUAGGCGGUUUGUUAAGUCAGAUGUGAAAGCCCUAGGCUCAACCUGGGAACUGCAUUUGAAACCGUCAGACUAGAGUGUGGUAG